UGCAGAGCUGGCAACUAGGAAACAAGCUCUCUGUGUGAGGCUGUUUAAGCUUGCUGCUGCGCACUGGAGACAAUGGAAAGCUGCAGCUUGCCAGCAUUCCAGUGCUUGGUGCAUUGAAUGAAAUACUUCGUUUGAUUCCUCAAACAGUCUAGGAAGAUCUUCAACCUUUGUCCUGAACAGAACUGCAUCCCUGUCUAGGAAAACACUGACCACAAAUGUCAGUGACUUCGGGCCCUGGUAAUUUUUAUGUUAUUGGGUUGAAUCCUGGUUUGUCAGCACAAGCUUGAUGUAGACUUGGACUUUUCAACUAGAAAAGAGGAUAGUGAAGAAGAGGAAGGUGGUAGGUAGGACAUAGGUAUGUGAAAAUCAUGAAGAGGGCCACUGGGAAAUAGAAACAAAGUCAUGGAAUAGUUUGGGUUGGAAGAGACCUUAAAGAUCAUCCAGUUCCAACCCCUCUGCCAUGGGCAGGGACACCUUCCACUAGAUCAGGUUGCUCAAAGCCACAUCCAACUGAUCUGGUAUCUCUCCUAACAUAAAGAUUGGGUACAUGAGACUGAAAAUUUCGGGGUAGGUGCAAAGCAAACAAAAGGAGAUGGCUUUUCACAAGCAGGCAUUGAAGCUAUGAAACUCUUGCACAGGAUCUUGUUUGCAUGAAUUCAAAAUGUGUUUCAAUGAAUUAACAGAAGGAAAAAAAAAUCAGGACUUUUAAACAUUAAUGUGACAUCUGUGCCCUAGGAGGUCUCUGAGGAGUUACUGAGGAGUAACUGAGUUACUGAGGAGUUACUGAGGGCUAGGAAGGUAUGUGGGAAACCCUCAGUACAUGUUCGCACUGUUGUUAUGGUAGUAGCAGUGCUACUAAUAGUUAUCAGUACAGCACAUUGUUCAGUCACUAUCCGUUAUGAGUGCUGUUGGAGCUAGGGUACUCUGGUGGGUGGAUUUUUAAUCUGAGCUGGAUCAGCAAUUCUGCAGUUAAAAAAACCCCAAACAAAACAACAGGUGAUUUUCCUGUUACGCAGAUGGCAAAUGCAGCCUCUGACCAAGUCCCUCUCUCUCUGAAAGACUGAUCUUUGGAGAACUGUGAGCACGGACAUGCUCCUGGUCCCCCAUGCCCCUGCUCAUCUUCACUGCCUCUCUUCCAGCAGCCCAUGGACUUUGUGCAGUCAGUUCCUCUGGGUCUGCCCCAUACCAUGAGUGAACUCCUCUGGCUGCUUAGCUGGAAAGUCGGAUCUUGGAUAGGACAAGCAGUAUAGGGUAGGAUAGUCCAGCAGUAUUAAAAGAUGUAGUCUCAGGAGUCAUCCUUUUCUUCAUUUUCCCUGUGUUUUGGCAGGACCAGUCUGAAUCUGGCUGCUGCUCUUUGCGACAGGCAAUCUCAGCAUUAUGUCUGCUCCCGCAAAGGCUUGCGAGGUCUUGCGAGGUGUCCUGAUAGUCAUGGAGACUGUUUAUAUUGCUUGCCUCUGCUAUCCAAGCCUGAAGUAUUUCCCCUGAUUACCACAGCACAGCCCGCCCUUCUUGAAGUGUGAGAAAAGCAUCUAAUUGAGAACAAGGCUUUACCUCUCGAUAGGGAGGCUUGAGUGUCUAAAAAUCUAUUACUUCUCGUAUCUGGCUUGCUGCUAAAAAAAGGUUUAGCUGCAUUUUGGUGUUCAGCUCACAUGGUUUUUGUUUCCGCACUUGGACUUUAUAAUGUCUUUCUUUCAUGAACAGAGAAAAGGCUUCUCUGGUCUUUCAGUCCUUACAAAGUCUACUUUAUCAAAGUGGAUGGCUUUUUAUAAGUCAUCUCUGAUGGAAGCUUCCAGGCUGCAUUAGGAAAAAUUGGAGACAAACAACCAAAAAAAAAACCUCUCCUGUAUAUUUUCACUGUCUGUCACUGCAGACUGAAUGAAGUGUUCAAUUAUUCUAAGCAACACAUGAUUAUGAGCUAUUUUCCUACUGUCCUGUAGCAUAAACUCUGAAAUAAAGCAUCCUGUGGUACAGCAAUAAAAUAAAAAUGCCAGCACUUACACACUAGAAGAAACACAAUUAAAUUUUGUGGUUAGGUCAUCAUUCUGUGUAUUUUUCUCUUCAUAAAAUAACCCUGGGUUUAUUUUCUUAGCUAAUGAAGCAAAAUUAUUUUUUUCCCCUGCAAGAUGAAUGCAAUGAAUGAUGGGCCUCUUGCAUCUUUGUUAAAAAUUAUGCCAAACUUUGCCAUUCUUCCUGUUUUCCUCCUGAAUAAAAAUAAAGAAACUAGGAAAAUGACAGAGGCAUAAGAAGAAGAACAUUACCAGUUGUCUCAGUUGGGGCUAGGUUCAUGAGAAAGCUGGCUUGCUUUUGUGCUGAAGGAGCACUUUGCAGAGAGGAACGAGAAUAGCACAUCUGCUCGCCUCCCACACCAAUUCCAAGCUGAAAGUGUUCAGAAAGCCAGCAUUGGCAGUCUUGCUUCCACCGAAUGGCAGAAGAUGACAGUCAGCCAAAACCUGUUCUGAAACACGUUGGCACAGAAGAAAACUGCCUUUAUUUUGUCAACGUUUAUCUCCAGAAUCAAGAUAAAGUUGUAACUUUUGAGAAAAGGAUGUACUUUACUCAAGAAAGUGCGAUGUUGUAUCUGCCUAUUAUAUCUGCCAACUCUACUGGUGUCCAACGCAUCUUGGGUGUAACAAGGCACCUGUGUUGAACAAAUUGGCUCAAGACCCUAAGGUUAAAUGAAAUUACUUCCACCUCUAAAAUCAGGAAAGAUGAACUUGAACCCUACAUACUAAGGAAGGAUGAACAAGCCCACCUCUCUGAGCCUGUCUCCAUAGGAGAAGCGCUCCAGCCCUCGGAGCAUCUUCGUGGCCUCCUCUGGACUCACCCACAUGAAACACAACAGGCUUGGAUUUGGAAAUCAUGUCUCGUCCCAAGACUUAAGCAAGUCGUUAAAGUUUCACGGUUUUGCUUCACUGAAGUGGAGGCUAUUUACAGUAUUUAACCUUCUUCAAAGCCUCUUUUGUGGCAGGAAGUCCUUUAGGUGAUGUUCUGCCAUGUCCAUGGAGGUCUGUGGAAGAGCUGGAUGCCCAUCAUUGACCAGAGGCUGAACCAAUACAAUAAAAGCUGUUUACAGUAUCCCA